AAGGUAUUAAGUUAAAGAGACUGUGGCACUUCAAAUGCUGAAGUAAACAAUGGUGUUUAUACCUUG
rnacentral:tRNA from 1 species